rnacentral:rRNA from 1 species
AGGAUACGGUUAACGGAGCGAAAGCGACGUUCAACCUCAAAAGAAGCAGAGGGGGCUUAGUGGUGGGGUGACUGCGUACCUUUUGUAUAAUGGGUCAGCGACUUAUAUUCUGUAGCAAGGUUAACCGCAUAGGGGAGCCGGAGGGAAACCGAGUCUUAAUUGGGCGUUAAGUUGCAGGGUAUAGACCCGAAACCCGGUGAUCUAGCCAUGGGCAGGUUGAAGGUUGGGUAACACUAACUGGAGGACCGAACCGACUAAUGUUGAAAAAUUAGCGGAUGACCUGUGGCU